UUUGAACCCCCAUGCACACAAAUGAGAUUCACUCCCAGUUACUCAUUUCCUCACACUGACUUUUAAUUAGAAUGGAGAAGAAAGCUAUAUCUUAUAUCUAUGAAGUGAAUAGUGUGGAAAUUCUCUGCAGUGAAAAUAUUCAAUUCAAACCGGUGAACGUUCAUUGGGCAACUUAUAACUGCAUGGGAGAGAAGGUUAUUCCACUGAAGGACAGCCACUGGCAUUAAGAAGUGUUAGUUACAUGUACACAAGAUCAUGGGUCCUCAGGACAAGAACUUGGGACCCACUGAAUGGUGAGGAUAAAAGAACUGUAAAACAAACAGGGCUGAGACAUCCUCCUGGCUUGCCAUGCUGUGAGCAAAGAGAAGGAAAGAAGAACUGCGAUUCUUCAGGGACCCCAGACCUGGGAGCUCCCUCAGCCAGGGCUGUGACUCCCCCCUUUGGGGCCUGCAGUUCCUGGCAUCUCCAUGCUUCCAGGAACCACCGUGUUCCCCAGUGCCAGCCGUGGAAGCUGCUUGUGGUGCAGCUGGUCUGGCUGCAGCCUCGCAAAGAGCCAGUGCCCAUGCCAGCACCUGUAGCUGCCUGCCCCACUGCACAUAUGACUGUGUGCAGUGGCUGGAACUCAGGCUCACUCAUGCACCCCUUACUGUUCCAUGCCUGACUUGCCCUUGGCAGGCAUGGGACCCAAGCAGGUAGUGUGAGCCAAGCACAGCCUGCUAGGCCAAGUGGGCGAAAGGAGCCCAGUGGGCCUAAGCUAAACUUGGGCAAAGGUGCCACUGGCCACAGAGGUUUCUGGCCAGAAAAUAAAUACCCCAAAUAUCCUGUAACACUGAUGGGAAUGUGUACUAUUUCAGCUGCUGUGGAAUGUAGUUUGGUGAUUCCUCAAGGAAAUUAAAACAGAACCUACCAUCCAACCCAGCAACCUGUUAUUGAUAAUGUACUCAAAGGAAUAUAAAUUUUUCUACCAUGAAGAAACAUGCACAUAUAUGUUCAUCACAUCACUAUUCAUAAUAACAAAGACAUGGAAUCAACCUAAAUGCCCAUCAAUGGUAGACUGGAUAAAGAAAAUAUGGUGAUUAUACACCAUCGAAUAUUAUGCAGCCAUAAAAAUGGAGAUCAUGUUGUUUGCAGGAAUGUGAAUGAAGCUGAAGGCCAUUAUUCUAAGGGAACUAAUGCAGGAAUGGAAAACCAAAUACUGCAUGUUCUCACUUAUAAGUAGAAGCUAAACAAUGAGUGCAUAUGGACACAAACUAGGGAACAAUAGACACCAGGGCUGACUUGAGGGUAGAAGUUGAGAGCAGGGUAAAGAAAAAAAGACUACCUAACAGAUACUAUGCUUAUUACCUAGAUGAUGAAAUAAUCAGCACCAAACCCUAAUGACAUAAAAUUUGCCUAUAUAAGGAAUCUGCACAUAUACUCCUG
rnacentral:lncRNA from 1 species